GUGCCAGCAGCCGCGGUAAUACGAAGGGGGCGAGCGUUGCUCGGAAUGACUGGGCGUAAAGGGCGUGUAGGCGGUUUAGUGCUGUCAGAUGUGAAAUUUCCGGACUUAACCUGGAACAUGCAUUUGAGACGGCUAGACUAGAGUUCGAGAGAGGAUUGUGGAAUUCCCAGUGUAGAGGUGAAAUUCGUAGAUAUUGGGAAGAACACCGGUUGCGAAGGCGGCAAUAUGGCUCGAAACUGACGCUGAGGCGCGAAAGCGUGGGGAGCAAACAGGAUUAGAUACCCCUGUAGUCC
rnacentral:rRNA from 1 species